rnacentral:lncRNA from 1 species
GUCUUGGCACCUCUAAUUGCUCUCGUGUAUUCGGUGCCGCGACUUUCACGAUGGCUCGCCCAACCUUACUACCUUCUGUCGGCCCUGCUCUCUGCUGCCUUCCUACUCGUGAGGAAACUGCCGCCGCUCUGCCACGGUCUGCCCACCCAACGCGAAGACGGUAACCCGUGUGACUUUGACUGGCCAGGCACAGUGGCUCACGCCUAUAAUCUCAGCACUUUGGGAGGCCGAAGCAGGUGGAUCACUUGAGGCCAGGAGUUCAAGACCAGCCUGGCCAACAUGGUGAAACCCCAUCUCUACUAAAAAUACAAAAGUUCACCGGGCGUGGGGGCAGGUGCCUGUAAUCCCAGCUACUCCGGAGGCUGAGGCAGGAGAAUUGCUUGAAUCCAGGAGGCAAAGGUUGCACUGAGCUGAGGUUGUGGCAUUGCACUCCAGCCUGGGCGACAGAGCAAGACUCCUCCAUCUCAAAAAAAAUAAAAA